rnacentral:rRNA from 1 species
GUAAUGCCUAGGAAUCUGCCUGGUAGUGGGGGAUAACGCUCGGAAACGGACGCUAAUACCGCAUACGUCCUACGGGAGAAAGCAGGGGACCUUCGGGCCUUGCGCUAUCAGAUGAGCCUAGGUCGGAUUAGCUAGUUGGUGAGGUAAUGGCUCACCAAGGCGACGAUCCGUAACUGGUCUGAGAGGAUGAUCAGUCACACUGGAACUGAGACACGGUCCAGACUAAUACGGGAGGCAGCAGUGGGGAAUAUUGGACAAUGGGCGAAAGCCUGAUCCAGCCAUGCCGCGAGUGUGAAGAAGGUCUUCGGAUUGUAAAGCACUUUAAGUUGGGAGGAAGGGCAGUAACCUAAUACGUUAUUGUUUUGACGUUACCGACAGAAUAAGCACCGGCUAACUCUGUGCCAGCAGCCGCGGUAAUACAGAGGGUGCAAGCGUUAAUCGGAAUUACUGGGCGUAAAGCGCGCGUAGGUGGUUUGUUAAGUUGAAUGUGAAAUCCCCGGGCUCAACCUGGGAACUGCAUCCAAAACUGGCAAGCUAGAGUAGGGCAGAGGGUGGUGGAAUUUCCUGUGUAGCGGUGAAAUGCGUAGAUAUAGGAAGGAACACCAGUGGCGAAGGCGACCACCUGGGCUCAUACUGACACUGAGGUGCGAAAGCGUGGGGAGCNAACAGGAUUAGAUACCCUGGUAGUCCACGCCGUNAACGAUGUCAACUAGCCGUUGGAAUCCUUGAGAUNUUAGUGGCGCAGCUAACGCAUUAAGUUGACCGCCUGGGGAGUACGGCCGCAAGGUAAAACUCAAAUG